rnacentral:lncRNA from 10 species
AACAACAAAAAGCCCUGCUGCCUUUGUGUUCAGGAUGGUAGAAGAUAGUAAGGCCCUUUCAUCUAAUGGGAGUGUAGAUGUCAGGGCUGGAGGAUAAUGACUCAGAGCCGGUGGAAAUGCGGCCGGUGGAACAAGUUUCAAACAGGAAAGUGCUUGUGGGGUGACCUCUGGGGUCAGCCACAGAGCUUACUGCAGAUUCCACCAAAAAAGUAAGAAGAUCCAAAAGGGCAAGGCGUAGGGUCUGUCGGGCGGGUGUGUCCCAGUUUAAACAAAGCUGCUUUGAUGUGCUUCCCAGCGGGCAGGCACAGGAAUGCAAGGCCCUGCUCUGUCUUGCAGCCAAGAGGGAGUUAUAAACAUCCAUCUGCAAGGGAAGAUCCAUCAGCUCCUAUCAACCACACAGGAAAGAUUUACAGGUUCAUUGCAGUAUCAUUCAAAAUAGCGAAGAUGUGGAAACUGCCUUAGUGUCCAUUGGUGCGUGGAUGGAUAAGAAAAUGUGGUACAGAUAAAUUUGAUGGAAUAUUAUUCAGCCUUAAAAAAACAAGGAAAUCCUGUAUUUGUGACAGCUUGGAUUAUGGACAUACCAAGAAGACAGCCAUUAGGAAGCCAGGAAAAGCACCCUCAGCAGAAUCCAACCAUGCCAGCUCCCUGAUCUUGGACUUCCAGCCUCCAGAACUGUGAGAAAAUAAAUUCUUGUUUUUUAAGCCACAUAGUCUAUGCUAUUUUGUUAUGACAGCCCAAGUGGACUAAGUCAAAUACCCACUGGCACAGUGCCUAGAACAAACCAGCGGUGCCUGUGACAAACCAAUCAUUAUUUAUCAUCUACCUGAAUAAAAGGCAUUUGAGGUGAAUCUGAGAGAGCCGGUGUAUUAGGUUCCAGUGGCCAGUGCCAGAGAGGGG